GGGGUUGUGGCUCAGAUGUAGAGUGCUCCUCUGGCAUGAGUGAGGCGCUGGGUUCGAUCCUCAGCACCACA
rnacentral:tRNA from 1 species